AACGUUGCCCCAGGCGCUUUUCAGAUUCAACGUCAGACAGAGGGCGCUUUUUUUCUCUCAAUUGGCUUCACACAUCUCUUUCCCAAACUUUUCAAAGGCUUCAUUUAGGUGAAAACUUUUUUGUAUUUUUGUUAUUUUGGUAUUUACUUUUGAACAAAUGAAUGAACUACAUCCACCAGUUGUUUACGGAAAUCAUCUAACGAUCCCUCUCUUGGUUUAUUCACCAAUCUGCUUGGAUUAACCGUGUGUAUUCACCACAAUUCUGGGACCAGGUGCGUAUCAAAUUUUAGGUAGAGGAUGAAAAGACGAAGUUAAGGUGAACAAGACGGUACAUGUUGCUUAUAUCUCUCUUCCAUCUUCUUGUGUAGUCUACGAAUUGGUCAUUCCAAUGACAACGGCGUGCAAUUUAUAAACCCAAAGGAGACUUACUUCGGAAUAUUCUCUGAUUUCCCAAACAUUCCGGUUUAUUGUUUGAUGGAAGGGAAGACAAAAGAAUCUAAAAAAUAUGUCAGAAAAACUGGGAGAAAUUUGAGUGCAAAAAAGAAAAUCAAAGAAAACCAUUUUUAUUUGUUAUUAAGAAAGAUAUUUCAUUAAUUGCUGUAAUGACAAAAUUAUGGAAUGGUCAUUAAACUUCGUGUUUCCAAGAGGAGAUAUUUAAAGGAAAGGCAGAAAGUGCCGCGAUUUUUAUUUCUACAUUGUCUUGUACAUACUUACCUAUCCAUCGAUUUUGUUUUAUAUAACUACCAAUUAAUAAGGUAGAUAUAUAUGUAUACAGUGUUUGCUCAUGGUGGACGGUGGGUUUAUGCGAACCCACGAGGAAUAGAGAGGCGUCCUCUCGUAUUUUAUCUAAUCAAGAGAUGUUGUUUGUGAAAUAUUUCCUGGAUAAUUUACAAUAUGGAAGACUGUCACAGUUUCCAACACUGUAGGAGUUUUACAACCGGAUAAAGCAACAUCCCGCUUUAAAAAGAUGACCAGAAUGCUGCAAUUUGAUUGGAGGUUCACGAAUCGGAUUCCUCAGACUGGAAGGUUGAAGACCAAACAAUAACUCACCGAAAUGGAUGUUAGAUUGUCUUCUAAAACAAUUUAUUUACUGUUUAUAAUUCUAUUGACAUUCAAGUUUUCCUUGGAAGAUUGUACAUUCCAGUCUUCUGUUCACAUCAAAGAGACCUUGGCACCUGAUUCAAAGAUUUUUACUUUCCCAAGUGACAGCCACGUUUCAAUCCUUGAAGGACCGAAUGAGUUUUAUGUGUUGGACAAUAAACUAUUCUGUCGUCACAGGAUUCAGGUGAACUCUCAGCCGACCAAAAGAUUUAAACUAAGACUCACUUGUACUACAAAUAACAAAAUAAAAGUGAAAAAGGACUUUACCAUAACUGCUUCCUCUCCUGAUGUUGUUGAUGCCACUUCAUACACAGUCAAAAGCUUGUCAGUAGAUAUACCAGAGACAACAUCGGUCAAUUCUUCUGUCGUAAAUCUGUCUAGUUUUGUCACAGAAUCUUUUGAUAACAAUACAAGAAGUGGCUGGAAUAAUUCUACAGUUUACACCAUUAAGAUGAAUUCCUAUAACGACACCUUUGUGAUGGGGGACCCUCAGAAAGGAAUCAUUCUGUUGAAGAAGAAAUUGGAUUACGACAUCAGAAAUAUUUAUCAACUCAAUAUAUCAGCUUUGAAUGGUGAAAAUCUUGUGUUUGUUCUGCUAACCAUUGCUGUAAAAGAUGAAGACACAAAGCCACCAGUUUUCGCAUUUCUUCAUUAUUACGCUUCAGUAGAAGAAGAGGCUGUAAAUUUAAUAAACACAACCCUUACUUCAGCGCCACCUAUCCUGGCAUAUGACGGGGACAGAAGCAUUAACCAAACCAUCAACUACAGAAUGCAUAAAGGUACCAAAGCUAUGGCAUCAGAUGCCUUUGAUGUUGAUAACAGAACUGGCUCCAUCAUUCUUCGCCAAAUAUUAAACAGAGAAACUAAAGAUUCUUAUACUAUUUAUAUUGAGGCCUAUCAAACUGAUGCUCCUUACACGAAGACAGCCAUAGCUGUGGCCCACAUCACAGUUCUUGAUAUUAAUGACAACCUACCAAAGUUUGGUUCUUACUUUCAGUCUGUAGAGGUUUUAGAAAAUCUUCCAAAAGGCUUCUUCAUCUACCGAUUCCAUGCAACAGAUGCUGAUAAGGUUCCAUUCAACAUCUUCCAGUAUCAACUAAAAGACAAAUAUGAUGCAUUUCAAGUGAACGGUUCCACGGGAGAACUAACUGUGAAGAAUUCACGUAUUUUGGACCGAGAAACCCACCCAACACUGGUGAUUAGUGUGUUUGCUGUUGAAAGAAGUGGACAGAAAAGCAAAUCCUGUUACCUCACAAUCACCCUUUUGGACGUCAACGAUAACUGGCCAAUGUUUAGUCAGCAAGGAUUCCUUCUGUUUGCUACAGAACUGACGAAUGGAACUUUCAUCGGAACGGUAAAUGCUUCUGAUCGUGAUGUAGGACUCAAUGCCAUCCUUAAAUAUGGCUUAACAAACAUCGUUGAGUGGGGUAAACAACCAGCCCCCAUCGAUAUUGAGGAAAACACUGGAGUUAUUACAGCAAAUAGUUUUCUAAAACCUGCCACUUCGUACAGGUUCUUCCUCCAAGCCUGCGACUCACCCAGAGAACUUUCAAGAAGGCUCUGUAGUAAAGUUCCAGUGAUGAUUGUCACCAAAAAUACUACAAAACCAGAGAACAAUUCCAGAGUCAAAUACAUCUACAUCAAGGAGAACACUCCGAGGAACACCACUGUGGCUGACCUUAAGGAUGACUUCAAGGGUUCCAGUACUGGCAUGAUCUUCAUCCACCUGAAGACUUCUCCGGUUCCAGUUAAAAUAAUGAAAUUUGGUGAAGUUGUUGUGAAUGGUCUUCUGGAUUAUGAAGCAGUUCAACAAUAUAAAUUAACAGUUUUGGCUUGUACAGAAACGAAAACCAUCAAUAUGACUGUGUUUGUUCACAUCAAAGACAUCAACGACCAUAUUCCAACAUUUGACAAACCAGUUUAUAUUUUUGAGGUUCUCCCAAAACUUGAAAUAAACACAACUAUUGGAUACAUUAGCGCAUCUGAUAAUGACAAGGAACCUCCGAAUAAUCAGUUCUUUUAUAAAAUUCCUGCAGAAUUCAGUGUUGGGCGCCAUAUUGUGAUAGAAAAUAAAACAGGAGAAUUGAUUGUGAAGAGAAGUCUUCAGCUGGAGGCAGAAGAGGAAAAUGGUGUGGAAUUUCUGGUGAGAGUAAUUGAUGAAGGGAACCCACCUCUGUCAUCGUUAGUGAAAGUCAAGCUUGUAUUGGAAGACAAGAUCACUGGUGCCAGCUACUUUGUCUCAACGAUGCUCUUAAAAAAGCAAGUCCUGAAUAACAAAAGAUCUUUGGAAUGGGCUUUAACGAAGGCAACUGGUGUUCGUGUGACUAUUGUCAAUGUCAUUGAUGGACCGACAGACAGUCUGGGACAAAGCUUCUUCUUUGGAGGAUCAACAGUUCAAAUCACAGCAACAUUUCCUAAUGGAACCAAAUUGUCCAGACAACACUUAAAAAGUUUGGUCCUGGAACAUAAAGAUGUUUUACAGAAGAUUUUUAAAGAGAAAAGUUCCAAGAAGCUGAAAUCUUGGAAUUUCCAUGCUCCGGAAUUAUCUCUUCUCAUCUUGGCUUGUCUCUUAUUUAUCUGCUGCCUAAUCUGUGUUUCCAUCAUCUACAUGAAACAGAAAGAAGAAGUGAAAAACCGUCAUAUUGUCCACAACUGCAAGAAAAAUCGUUCGUUGUAUGAUUCUACUGACUUGACAGUCACAACGGACAUUAAUGGUCCGCAUGAAAUUUCUUCAAACUCUACCAGAAGCAACAGACCCUCAAUAAUUAACCAUACUUUUGAGUUUGACUCCGACUCAGGUCGUCAUAGUAACGAGAGCAAAACUAAUCAAACAGAUGAAACGGACACUGGAUUCCAGACUUCAACGCUAUCGGUCAGCAAGAGACGGUGUCGCCGACACAGUAAAGAUUCUUUAGAAACGGAGACCCAAAGUCGUCAUCCUGUGAAGUCUGCAAGAAUGUUGUGUCGCUGUGACGACAGUGACUCACAGACAACCCUGAACGGCAACAAAGAAAAGCAUACGUAUGAAAAUGUCGAAGACUCGUCUGAUAGCGAGUCAGAGAAAUCAUGGAGUAGAAAUAUUUAUGAUAAACCGGAUAAAAGCAUAUUAAAAGGGAAAUAUCCGGAAAGUAUCAGUGGUUUAUACGAUGCAUCAGAUGAGAAUAUGUAUGAGAUUCCGAACACGGUGUCAUCCUCGAAGGACAGUUUAUAUGAGAUGUAUGACAAACCGGAUUCCCCUCAGACAAAUAACUUUUACGACUUUGUUGAUGAUCCUUCCCUGAAGGAUUUGUUCAGAGAAAAUAUCAAUGAAUCGGAUUCUGAUUGUUCUCAUAUCUACAGCAACGUUGUGACACAUCAUUACGAACACAUCAGCUCAGACAGUGAUAUUCCCAGUGAGCCACACCCAGACUAUAUCACAACAGGCUCAGAAUUUUCAGACUUAACAGAUGAACCGUCAUAUUCACGGCACGGUUCGCUGAGCACACUAUCUUACGCUUCCACAUCAACAUCACACUACAAUUCACAAUCAGAUUUACACUCCACAAACAAAUUUUCUAAGAACAGGGACAAAACCCUUCACAAAAUUAUAGGGCUCUUGGAACUCAGCCAUUCUCCAGCUCUUUCAUCAAGGGGCCACCAAGCUUGCCCUCUUCCUCCACGAGAUUACAACACCCAAAGUAACCAGAUGUCACAUUUUAAAGCCUCCAUGACUCAAUUAUGAUAUUAACUUAAUGUUUUGAAAUUCUAGACUGCUGUAUAGUUGAUAUGAAAUAGUCAAGUGGAUGAGGUAUCAGGCUACAAACUCAUAGGUUGUGAGUUCACGUCUGACUGCAGGCAUUGUGUUGUGUCACUGAGCAAGACACUUAUUUCUACAUGGUUCCACAUAUCUUGUUGGGGAAUUGGUAUCAGGCCUUUGGGAAAGUUACCGGCAAUAGACCUGCAUCCUAUCCCAGGAGAAAUUUGUCUUGCAUCCACUGUUAUUGCUAUGAAUCCCACAUUUAAGCACCAGUUUUAUAAACCCCUUGAAGUUUAUAAAAAGAAAUUGCACUUAUUUGGGCAAGUGGGGUCUGUUCACAGUAGCAUCACUAUGAAGCAUUAUCAUUAUUCAAUGUUUAAAAUAUUAAUGAGGUGCUAUCAAAAUAUUAAUGAGGUGUCAUUAAAAUAUUAAUGAGGUGCUGUUGAAAUAUUAAAGAGGUGCCAUUAAAA